rnacentral:rRNA from 1 species
UACGGAGGGGGCAAGCGUUGUUCGGAAUUAUUGGGCGUAAAGAGCUCGUAGGCGGUUUGUCGCGUCUGCUGUGAAAACCCGAGGCUCAACCUCGGGCCUGCAGUGGGUACGGGCAGACUAGAGUGCGGUAGGGGAGAGUGGAAUUCCUGGUGUAGCGGUGGAAUGCGCAGAUAUCAGGAGGAACACCGAUGGCGAAGGCAGAUCUCUGGGCCGUAACUGACGCUGAGGAGCGAAAGCAUGGGGAGCGAACAGG